rnacentral:rRNA from 1 species
CCUACGUGAGGCAGCAGUGAGGAAUAUUGGUCAAUGGGCGCGAGCCUGAACCAGCCAAGUAGCGUGAAGGAUGACUGCCCUACGGGUUGUAAACUUCUUUUAUAAAGGAAUAAAGUGAGGCACGUGUGCCUUUUUGUAUGUACUUUAUGAAUAAGGAUCGGCUAACUCCGUGCCAGCAGCCGCGGUAAUACGGAGGAUCCGAGCGUUAUCCGGAUUUAUUGGGUUUAAAGGGAGCGUAGAUGGGUUGUUAAGUCAGUUGUGAAAGUUUGCGGCUCAACCGUAAAAUUGCAAGUGAUACUGGCAGUCUUGAGUACAGUUGAGGUAGGCGGAAUUCGUGGUGUAGCGGUGAAAUGCUUAGAUAUCACGAAGAACUCCGAUUGCGAAGGCAGCUUACUAAACUGCCACUGACAUUGAUGCUCGAAAGUGUGGGUAUCAAACAGGAUUAGAUACCCCAGUAGUC